rnacentral:lncRNA from 1 species
AUUCAAGUUCAAAUUAAAAUUUAAAAUUAUAUAUUUAAUUUCUGAAUUUAAACUCAUAUUUUAAUUAAAAAAAGUUGAAAAAAUAAAUUUAAUUCGAAUAAAUAUCCAUUCCGUCCGAAUUCCACUUCUAAUCCGGCCUCCUAGGCCGGAUUUGAAAAAUAGGUGAUUGGGAGAUUUCCAUUCUACUCGGGAAUCGGAAUCGAAAUAGGACUCCCGCAUACCAAACACCACAAACAGAUUCGUUCAUUCCGAUCCCGAUUCCGAUUUCGGGGUGAAAAAGAAGCGAACCAAACAUGCCCUAGGACUUUUGCAGGAAUAACUUAUAAAAAUUGAACUUUGUAGGAAUAUAACUGCAAUUCAUUAUGUUUGCGAAAAUAUGUAUAAAAUUAACCUUUAUUUUUAUUACAAAUUGGACGGUGGAGCGGAAAAUUUAAGAUGGAUGAAAAGGUGACAUAUUUU